CAGUAGCCGCGGUAAUACGCAGGGUGCGAGCGUUAAUCGGAAUUACUGGGCGUAAAGCGUGCGCAGGCGGUUUUGUAAGACAGGCGUGAAAUCCCCGGGCUCAACCUGGGAAUGGCGCUUGUGACUGCAAAGCUAGAGUGCGGCAGAGGGGGAUGGAAUUCCGCGUGUAGCAGUGAAAUGCGUAGAUAUGCGGAGGAACACCGAUGGCGAAGGCAAUCCCCUGGGCCUGCACUGACGCUCAUGCACGAAAGCGUGGGGAGCAAACAGGAUUAGAUACCCCGGUAGUCCCUGUCUCUUAUAC
rnacentral:rRNA from 1 species